rnacentral:rRNA from 1 species
AUUGAACGCUGGCGGCGGGCCUAACACAUGCAAGUCGAGCGAAUAAGGGAGGCUUUUCCUGGGUUCACGGGCGGGCCGGGGGGGUAUGCCCCAGGAUCUUCCCGGUCGUGGGGGAUUACGUUCGGAAACGGGCGCCUAUUCCGCCAACGUACCGAGGGGGAAAGCGGGGGGUUCUUUGGACCCACGCGUUUAGGUUGGCCCUGGGCGGGAUUAGCUAGUUGGUGGGGUAAGGGCCUACCAAGGCGACGAUCCGUAACUGGUCUGAGAGGAUGAUCAGUCACACUGGAACUGAGACACGGUCCAGACUCCUACGGGAGGCAGCAGUGGGGAAUAUUGGACAAUGGGCGAAAGCCUGAUCCAGCCAUGCCGCGUGUGUGAAGAAGGUCUUCGGAUUGUAAAGCACUUUAAGUUGGGAGGAAGGGCAGUAAGUUAAUACCUUGCUGUUUUGACGUUACCAACAGAAUAAGCACCGGCUAACUUCGUG